rnacentral:rRNA from 1 species
GAGCUUGCUCUCGGGUGACGAGCGGCGGACGGGUGAGUAAUGUCUGGGAAACUGCCUGAUGGAGGGGGAUAACUACUGGAAACGGUAGCUAAUACCGCAUAAUGUCGCAAGACCAAAGUGGGGGACCUUCGGGCCUCAUGCCAUCAGAUGUGCCCAGAUGGGAUUAGCUAGUAGGUGGGGUAACGGCUCACCUAGGCGACGAUCCCUAGCUGGUCUGAGAGGAUGACCAGCCACACUGGAACUGAGACACGGUCCAGACUCCUACGGGAGGCAGCAGUGGGGAAUAUUGCACAAUGGGCGCAAGCCUGAUGCAGCCAUGCCGCGUGUGUGAAGAAGGCCUUCGGGUUGUAAAGCACUUUCAGCGGGGAGGAAGGCGGUGAGGUUAAUAACCUCAUCGAUUGACGUUACCCGCAGAAGAAGCACCGGCUAACUCCGUGCCAGCAGCCGCGGUAAUACGGAGGGUGCAAGCGUUAAUCGGAAUUACUGGGCGUAAAGCGCACGCAGGCGGUCUGUCAAGUCGGAUGUGAAAUCCCCGGGCUCAACCUGGGAACUGCAUUCGAAACUGGCAGGCUAGAGUCUUGUAGAGGGGGGUAGAAUUCCAGGUGUAGCGGUGAAAUGCGUAGAGAUCUGGAGGAAUACCGGUGGCGAA